rnacentral:rRNA from 1 species
UACGAGGGGGGCGAGCGUUGUUCGGAAUUAUUGGGCGUAAAGGGUGCGUAGGCGGUUCCGCAAGUCCUGUGUGAAAUCUUCGGGCUCAACUCGAAGUCUGCACGGGAAACUGCGGGGCUUGAGUGUGGGAGAGGUGAGUGGAAUUUCCGGUGUAGCGGUGAAAUGCGUAGAUAUCGGAAGGAACACCAGUGGCGAAAGCGGCUUCCUGGUCCGACACCGACGGUCAGGCACGAAAGCGUGGGGAGCAAACAGG